rfam:Schistosoma margrebowiei strain Zambia genome assembly, scaffold: SMRZ_scaffold0000718
AUCCAUCUGACGAGUCCCAAAUAGGACGAGAUGCGCGUCCUAAAU